GUGAAGCUGGAUUCGCUAGUAAUCGCGCAUCAGCCAUGGCGCGGUGAAUACGUUCCCGGGCCUUGUACACACCGCCCGUCAAGCCAUGGAAGCCGGGAGUGCCUGAAGUAUGCAACCGCAAGGAGCGUCCUAAGGUAAAACCGGUGACUGGGGCUAAGUCGUAACAAGGUAGC
rnacentral:rRNA from 1 species